rnacentral:rRNA from 1 species
GGGAAAAAACCCAAAGGGGGACCGGGGUACCCCAAAGGGUUCUCUUAAAAACUGUGGCAGGGGAGUAAGGCCCCUUUUAAGAAAGGAGAGGGCAAGGCUGGUGCCAGCCGCCGCUUUUAAACCAGCUCUUCAAGUGGUCGGGAUAAUUAUUGGGCUUAAAGUGUCCGUAGCCGGUUUAGUAAGUUCCUGGUAAAAUCGGGUAGCUUAACUAUCUGCAUGCUAGGAAUACUGCUAUACUAGAGGGCGGGAGAGGUCUGAGGUACUACAGGGGUAGGGGUGAAAUCUUAUAAUCCUUGUAGGACCACCAGUGGCGAAGGCGUCAGACUGGAACGCGCCUGACGGUGAGGGACGAAAGCCAGGGGAGCGAACCGGAUUAGAUACCCGGGUAGUCCUGGCCGUAAACGAUGCAUACUAGGUGAUGGUACGGCCAUGAGCCGUAUCAGUGCCGUAGGGAAACCGUUAAGUGUGCCGCCUGGGAAGUACGGUCGCAAGGCUAAAACUUAAAGGAAUUGGCGGGGGA